AUUGAACGCUGGCGGCAUGCCUAAUACAUGCAAGUCGAGCGGGCCUCCGGAGGUGCUUGCACCUCCGGAAGGCCAGCGGCGGACGGGUGAGUAACACGUGGGCAACCUGCCUUUGAGGCCGGGAUAACACCGGGAAACCGGUGCUAAUACCGGAUGCGUCCCCUUUCGCGCCUGCGAGAGGGGAGAAAGACGGUCUUUAAGGCCGUCGCUCAAAGAGGGGCCCGCGGCGCAUUAGCUGGUUGGUGGGGUAAGGGCCUACCAAGGCGACGAUGCGUUGCCGACCUGAGAGGGUGAUCGGCCACACUGGGACUGAGACACGGCCCAGACUCCUGCGGGAGGCAGCAGUAGGGAAUCAUCCGCAAUGGGCGAAAGCCUGACGGUGCAACGCCGCGUGAGUGAGGAAGGUUUUCGGAUCGUAAAGCUCUGUUGUGAGGGAAGAACAGCUUCCGGAGGAAAUGCCGGAGGUUUGCCGGUACCUCACCAGAAAGCCCCGGCUAACUACGUGCCAGCCGCCGCGGUAA
rnacentral:rRNA from 1 species